UACGUAGGUGGCAAGCGUUAUCCGGAUUUAUUGGGCGUAAAGGAAACGCAGGCGGUCUUUUAAGUCUGAUGUGAAAGCCUUCGGCUUAACCGGAGUAGUGCAUUGGAAACUGGGAGACUUGAGUGCAGAAGAGGAGAGUGGAACUCCAUGUGUAGCGGUGAAAUGCGUAGAUAUAUGGAAGAACACCAGUGGCGAAAGCGGCUCUCUGGUCUGUAACUGACGCUGAGGUUCGAAAGCGUGGGUAGCAAACAGG
rnacentral:rRNA from 1 species